UUUAAAAAAUAAUCAAUUGUUAACUAAAUUCACGCGCAUAAAAACAUCAGCAUGAAGUUAGUAGACAAUCAACAAUUUUUUUUUUAAGAUUGUGAAGUAGCUGACAAUUAGCACUGUUUUAUAUUUUAGGGUAAAUGAAUAAAAUGUCAGUAGAGUAAAAAUAAAAUUUUUGAAUUUAAAUAUUUCAAUUAACUUAUUUAUUCAUUUCAAUUCUGACAUUGUCUCAUCUUCUAUACCCACACUCAUAGUUUUUUUUAUGUUCCUGAAGUUAACAGACCAAAAAAUCAAAAAGUUAUUAGACGUCAGCUUACUUCAGUAUGUCGACCUUUUCUUCUUCAUUUAUGUGAUAACUAUUAAGUUAGAUUUAAUUUACAAUUAAAUACUUCGAUUAUUCGGUGAGUUUUAAGUUCAAGAAAUUACUAAACUCAUAUAGUAAAGUUCAAAAGUAGGCCAAUUUAAUUGUAAGAUUUAAAAAUUGACUCAGCUUGAAAUUAUAAUAGAUCCCGGAGAAAAUAUUUGGCUACGGAUGCUAUUAUAAGCGGGUUCAAAAAAACCGGAUAGAAAGAAAGAAAGGGAGAGAGAGUAAUUUCUCAUCAAUUUAAAUAAUUAUACUGCAAACUAUGAGAAGAUUCUGAUUGAAUUAUUCAGUUGAUUUAAUUAAUGUGUGAGAGGAUUAGCUCGGGCGAUUAUAAUUUACGCGAAGAUUAUUAUCCUCGACAGUACAGUUAAUCGGCAAAGAGAAAAUCCUUUCAGCGAACGUUCACCUCUCGGCACAACUGCCAUCCAAGCAACCCACUUUCAUUGUAUUCGUUGUACAGAAAACAUGCAUAUGACUAUUUUCUCAUAUCGUUAAAUGAUUACAUCUGAACAGACCUUCCUUACAUUAAUAGAAUUUACGUGGAUGGUUCUACACUAUGUAGAACCUGUGACAAAGACUACAAUGAUUUAUGUUUGUGUAUGUUCGUGCCAGCUUCACGGUUGGUACCCAACCAAGUCGAGGCCUUUGUCGCUGUACCGCUUCCUUCGUUAUCGAUUUAAGUCUAUGGUCUCUUGGUCGAGUCACACCAGCACCGGGAUUUAUAAAAAAUUUAAACAACAAAAAAAACAACCGAACAAAAGGUGAGAAGAUUAAUAGUCGAGAUGAUUCAAGAACUAGAAAGCUCGUGCAUUAUCACGAGCAUUAAAGAGUUAGCGGGUUUACAGAUAAAACAUGCAAUGUCUAGAAACGGUUUUCUUGUAUUGUUUGAAAUCCUUAGUAGCCUUAACUGUUUUUUGACCCUAAAUCUUUUAAAAAAAGUAUAAAAUUGAAGAGCGCUACAGGAUAUCUUGUCUCAGUUUUUAUUAUUUACGAAGGACAACAACUUAUACAGAAGAAUUGUGGAUGCGAUUCAUUAUGACCUCGAUGUGGAUGGACGAUACUUUGGUGAGAGGCUUCCAGGAGAUAGUAGGCCAUCAUAUAAGACAAACUAUAGCAAGGUGUUUAUAAACUCAUACAUUUAAGUAAACUGAUACAAAAGUAAACAGCUCUGUUGCCAAGUGAAAUAAUUCAAUGUAAUCUUAAUGAAAUUUCAUAAAUAUCUUUUUUAUUCUUUGUAUUCCUAAUGACUCAU